GAUGAACGCUGGCAGUGUGCCUUAGACAUGCAAGUCGAACGAAGCAAUCUGAAGUUUACUUUGGUGCGCUUAGUGGCGAACGGGUGAGUAACACGUGGGUAUCUGCCUCUAGGUAGGGUAUAACAGUUGGAAACGGCUGCUAAUCCCCUAUGGUCUCUUCGGAGUAAAGAUUUAUCGCCUAGAGAUGAGCCCGCGGCACAUCAGCUUGUUGGUGGGGUAACGGCCUACCAAGGCGACGACGUGUAGCCGACCUGAGAGGGUGACCGGCCACAGGGGUACUGAGACACGGACCCCACUCCUACGGGAGGCAGCAGUUAGGAAUCUUCCACAAUGGGCGCAAGCCUGAUGGAGCGACACUGCAUGAAGGAUGAAGGCUCUAGGGUCGUAAACUUCUGAACUAGGGACGAUAAUGACGGUACCUAGGUAAUAGCACCGGCUAACUCUG
rnacentral:rRNA from 1 species